UACGAAGGGGGCUAGCGUUGCUCGGAAUUACUGGGCGUAAAGGGCGCGUAGGCGGAUAGUUUAGUCAGAGGUGAAAGCCCAGGGCUCAACCUUGGAAUUGCCUUUGAUACUGGCUAUCUUGAGUACGGAAGAGGUAUGUGGAACUCCGAGUGUAGAGGUGAAAUUCGUAGAUAUUCGGAAGAACACCAGUGGCGAAGGCGACUCACUGGCCCGAUACUGACGCUGAGGCGCGAAAGCGUGGGGAGCAAACAGG
rnacentral:rRNA from 1 species